AGUGCUCGUUGGGGGUGCACAGGGCGCGUUCGAGCAGCGGCUACCGAGGCAGCGAAGGAGCGCGCCAUGGAGCAUGUGACGGAGGGCUCCUGGGAGUCGCUGCCAGUGCCGCUGCACCCGCAGGUGCUGGGCGCGCUGCGGGAGCUGGGCUUCCCGUACAUGACGCCGGUGCAGUCCGCAACCAUCCCUCUGUUCAUGCGAAACAAAGAUGUCGCUGCAGAAGCGGUCACAGGUAGUGGCAAAACACUCGCUUUUGUCAUCCCCAUCCUGGAAAUUCUUCUGAGAAGAGAAGAGAAGUUAAAAAAGAGUCAGGUUGGGGCCAUAAUCAUCACCCCCACUCGAGAGCUGGCCAUUCAAAUAGACGAGGUCCUGUCGCAUUUCACGAAGCACUUCCCUGAGUUCAGUCAGAUUCUUUGGAUCGGAGGCAGGAAUCCUGGAGAAGAUGUUGAGAGGUUUAAGCAACAAGGUGGGAACAUCAUUGUGGCCACUCCAGGCCGCUUGGAGGACAUGUUCCGGAGGAAGGCGGAAGGCUUGGAUCUGGCCAGCUGUGUGCGAUCCCUGGAUGUCCUGGUGUUGGAUGAGGCAGACAGACUUCUGGACAUGGGGUUUGAGGCAAGCAUCAACACCAUCCUGGAGUUUUUGCCAAAGCAGAGGAGAACAGGCCUUUUCUCUGCCACUCAGACGCAGGAAGUGGAGAACCUGGUGAGAGCGGGCCUCCGGAACCCUGUCCGGGUCUCAGUGAAGGAGAAGGGCGUGGCAGCCAGCAGUGCCCAGAAGACCCCCUCCCGCCUGGAAAACUACUACAUGGUAUGCAAGGCAGAUGAGAAAUUUAAUCAGCUGGUCCAUUUUCUUCGCAAUCAUAAGCAGGAGAAACAUCUGGUCUUCUUCAGCACCUGUGCCUGUGUGGAAUACUAUGGGAAGGCUCUGGAGGCGCUGGUGAAGGGCGUGAAGAUUAUGUGCAUUCAUGGAAAGAUGAAAUAUAAACGCAAUAAGAUCUUCAUGGAGUUCCGCAAAUUGCAAAGUGGGAUUUUAGUGUGCACUGAUGUGAUGGCCCGGGGAAUUGAUAUUCCUGAAGUCAACUGGGUUUUGCAGUAUGACCCUCCCAGCAAUGCAAGUGCCUUCGUGCAUCGCUGCGGUCGCACAGCCCGCAUUGGCCACGGGGGCAGCGCUCUGGUGUUCCUCCUGCCCAUGGAAGAGUCAUACAUCAAUUUCCUUGCAAUUAACCAAAAAGUUGUGAUGGAGCCCUGGGGAUGUGAUGCCAGCAAGGGAAGGUGAGAAUGUGGUGUGUGUGUGUGUGUAGUGCCCCCUGCAGGAGAUGAAGCUCCAGAGAAACACAGCGGACCUUCUGCCAAAACUCAAGUCCAUGGCCCUGGCCGACAGAGCUGUGUUUGAAAAGGGCAUGAAAGCUUUUGUGUCGUAUGUCCAGGCUUAUGCAAAGCAUGAAUGCAACCUGAUUUUCAGAUUAAAGGAUCUUGAUUUUGCCAGCCUUGCUCGAGGUUUUGCCCUGCUGAGGAUGCCCAAGAUGCCAGAAUUGAGAGGAAAGCAGUUUCCAGAUUUUGUGCCCGUGGACGUUAAUACCGACACGAUUCCAUUUAAAGAUAAAAUCAGAGAAAAGCAGAGGCAGAAACUCCUGGAGCAACAAAGAAGAGAGAAAACAGAAAAUGAAGGGAGAAGAAAAUUCAUAAAAAAUAAAGCUUGGUCGAAGCAGAAGGCCAAAAAAGAAAAGAAGAAAAAAAUGAAUGAGAAAAGGAAAAGGGAAGAGGGUUCUGAUAUUGAAGAUGAGGACAUGGAAGAACUUCUUAAUGACACAAGACUCUUGAAAAAACUUAAGAAAGGCAAAAUAACUGAAGAAGAAUUUGAGAAGGGCUUGUUGACAACUGGCAAAAGAACAAUCAAGACAGCAGAUUUAGGGAUCUCAGAUUUGGAAGAUGACUGAUGAUUCUAGCGCCACAGAUGAACCCACAAGGACAUAGCUGUUCCCUAACUUGGUGGAUGGCUCCAGUUUGCUUUUAAUGGAAAUCACAACUUCAGGAGACAUCUGAGAAGAAUCAUGUGUCUGAAAGCUGUCCUUUCAGACGAGGGAGAAAUGGAGGAUUUCACACUUGGGAAUAUUUUACUAAAAACAUUCCAGUCUUGGCCGGGUGCGGUGGCUUCUGCCUAUAAUCCCAGCACUUUGGGAGGCUGAGGCAGGAGGAUCACUUGAGCCCAGGAGUUCAAGACCAGCCUGGGAACACAGCAAGACCCUCUCAUUAAAAACAACAAAACAAAACAAUUCCAGUCUUGAAGUAGUCUAACAGAAGAAAAUGUAAAAUUAUUUGAGUGUAAAUAAUAGAUGUCAGUAUUUAUCAUGAUGGGUCACAUAUAUAGACAUAUGUACAUAUUAUAUAUAUAUAUAUAUAAGCUUUUUUCGGAGGCUAUUUCAUAGUUAUUUUAAACAUAAAGAUACUGAAGUAUUCUUGACUUCUGAUUUUCAAAACCAUUCCUCAGUAUCUUCAGGCAUCUGACCUCCUGAAUGUCCUUGGCCCUGGGCUUCAGUUAUCCUUUGAUGCCCUGCAGAGGUGGCUAAUAUGCUGGGGUUUUUGUGUUAAGAAUAGUCCCAGUAUUGUUUUAUUGGUGAAUAGCUGAAAAACAGAGGGAUUAAGUCAUAUUCCGGGAAAGAGAAUUACAGUUUUUAUGCCUCCUGUUGAAUAAAUGGUGUCCUGAUU